GAUGAACGCUGGCGGCGUGCCUAAUACAUGCAAGUCGAGCUAACAGACGAGGAGCUUGCUCCUCUGACGUUAGCGGCGUACGGGUUAGUAACACGUUGAUAACCUACCUAUAAGACUGGGAUAACUUCGUGAAACCGGAGCUAAUACCGGAUAAUAUAUUGAACCGCAUGGUUCAAUAGUUAAAGACGGUUUUGCUGUCACUUAUAGAUGGAUCCGCGCCGCAUUACCUAGUUGGUAGGGUAACGGCUUACCAAGGCAACGAUUCAUAGCCGACCUGAGAGGGUAAUCGGCCACACGAGAACUGAGACAGGGGCCAGAGGCCUAGGGGAGGAAGCAGAAGGGAAGCUUCCGAAAUGGGGAAAGGCCUGAGGGAGCAAAGCGGCUUGAGGGAUGAAGGUCUAGGGAUAGAAAAACAUGGUAAUUAGAAAAAAACAAAAGUAAAAGUAAGAAUGAACGUCUUGGCGGUACCAAAUAAGAAAGCCACGGCUAACUAAGAG
rnacentral:rRNA from 1 species